rnacentral:RNase_P_RNA from 1 species
UGGAUAAUUGCUGCGAAAGUAGAGGAAAGUCCAUGCUCGCACCAUCUGUGAUGAUGGUAGUGAUUGCGCCAACAGAAAAAAUAAUGUUGGGUAUGGUGGAGACCAUAACGGCGGAACUAGUCUAAAACCUCGGUCAUGAUGAUGUUCCUUAACGUGCCACAGUGACGAAGCCACUGGAAACGGUGGAGUGAAACGAUUGGUAAACCCCACAAGCGAGAAACCCAAAAUAUGGUAGGGGAGGUUAGAAGGAAGAAACGAAUUCCAACUAGCAUGCAUUGCAUAGAUAAAUUAUUAUCCUAGACAAAACAUGGCUUACAG